CUAAUUUUCAAACAUUAAAAUAACCUGCCAUUCCCGGGAGAAGCCCCACUUGGCCACGUAUUAUCCGUUUUAUGCAUUUGGGGAUUUGAUUUGCUAAAUGUUUGUUAAGAAUUUUUGCAUUUCUCUUUGUGGUGUUUCUUAUCUGUGCCCGGUUAUGGGAUUGGAGCGUUGCUGGCCUCAGAGAAUGAGCAGAAAACGCUUCGUCCUCUCCAAACCCCCGUACACGAGGACGUCGCUCCUGGACACCGUGAGGCUUUUCUCAGCAGCAAUCUCCAUCUCCGCCGCUGGCUGGAGAUCUCUGACUGGGACACUCUGA
rnacentral:lncRNA from 1 species